rnacentral:lncRNA from 1 species
CACACAUUCAAGGGAGAAUGCCUGCUAUCUUGAGUGAGGGGGUAAAGCUAGGAAUGUACCUCAAGGGAGAAUAUAGCUCCCCCUGCCAGGGGGAGAGAACCACACCUUGGUGUGUGGUGUUAAUAUUUAUAGAGAGACAAUGCUGGGGGCUGGGCUAGAGAUGGAGUCGGUGUGGAGUUAAACAUUAUGCAGUUUUCCCUGUGCUUAGAAAUUGCCCUCAUGUUACUUUUUUGCAGGCAAAGGCAUGGUCAAGUACCCAGGCUAAGAAUACUGCCUGGGUUUCCUUGGAAUUCAAAGUGAACCAGAUAUUUUAAGCUUAAUUUAAAGUAAAUUGUUUUUAAUUUAAAGUCAAUUGUUUUUUCUUCUGUUUAAGACAGAUUAUAACCCAAGGAAGUGGUGUAUUCUGGCAGUAGCUCAAUGUUUUCCUAAAUUAUUACUAACCCAGUACCUGGCGGUACUUAUGAACAUUUCUGCAUAUUUUUCCUCUAAUCAUUUUUCUCCACAUUCUUUUUACACAUUUGUGAUCAUAUUGUAUGUAUUAUUCUUACUUAGCAUUGUAGUCCUUAUUAAAAAUGGUUCCAUAGUGGGUUUUUAUUAUGUGUUUUACUUAGUUGUACAUGACAGCAGAAAUACAUUUCCAUUCAUUAUACACAAAUGGAGUGCAACAUUUCAAUUCUCUAGUUUACAUGGUGUAGAGAGAUACCAUCCAUGCAGUCGUACGUGUACCUAGGGUAAUGAUGUCCAUCUCAUUCCACCUUCUUUCCUACCCUCAUAACCCUCCCCACCCUUCCUUUUGCCCAAUCCAAAGUUCCUCCAUUCUUCCCAUGCCCUUCCAUAAUGUUUAAAAUCCAGUUUUUCAAUAUGA